rnacentral:tRNA from 1 species
GUUUUAAUAGUUUAAAAUAAAACAUUGGUCUUGUAAACCAAAAAUAAGGUAGAUCCUUUUUAAACU